GGGGGGGAGCAAACGUUUGUUCGGAAUUACUGGGCGUAAAGGGCGUGUAGGCGGCCCGGCAAGUGGUGUGUGAAAUCCUCUGGCUCAACCAGAGAACUGCGCCCCAAACUGCCGAGCUUGAGAGUAGUAGAGGUAACUGGAAUUCCUGGUGUAGCGGUGAAAUGCGUAGAUAUCAGGAGGAACACCAUUGGCGAAGGCGAGUUACUGGGCUAUUUCUGACGCUGAGGCGCGAAAGCUGGGGGAGCGAACAGGGAUUAGAUACCCUGGUAGUCCCAGCCGUAAGCGGUGAACACUAGGUGUGGGGAGUAUCGACCCCUCUCUGUGCCGCAGCUAACGCAUUAAGUGUUCCGCCUGGGGAUACGGUCGCAAGGCUG
rnacentral:rRNA from 1 species